AGGUCUCAGUUCCAUGGCUUCUAACUUCUCUUCCAGAUACAAAUCUGUGAUCCUCUGAUUCAGGCUAUUGCUGGGGAAAAGACCAAAAACAACUCUGACCUCAUAGCAAAUGCCAAAUGACUUGAAAAUUGCUGUAACCUGAUGUUCUACCUUAGUGGAAAGAACAGACACGAGGAGAUGGAGAUUAUGAAACUGGCAGAGAGUGAAUUGAAAGGCUGCUGCUAUUUUCUUCUUUUGACCUGGGAAGACAUUCUUUGCUUGUUUCCUUACUGAAAUGCACUAGGAGAUGUCAUUACAGAGAGUCCCUGGUACAACAUUCCCUGAACUCAUGCUCUGGAAUCUAUUUAGCAGCCAAGUAUUUUAUAGACCCAUAAAUACAAUCUCAGAUGUCAAUAAAGCAAUUAGGAAAA